rnacentral:rRNA from 1 species
AGUGAACGCUGGCGGUAGGCCUAACACAUGCAAGUCGAACGGCAGCACAGUAAGAGCUUGCUCUUACGGGUGGCGAGUGGCGGACGGGUGAGGAAUACAUCGGAAUCUACUUUUUCGUGAGGGAUAACGUAGGGAAACUUACGCUAAUACCGCAUACGACCUACGGGUGAAAGCAGGGGAUCUUCGGACCUUGCGCGAUUGAAUGAGCCGAUGUCGGAUUAGCUAGUUGGCGGGGUAAAGGCCCACCAAGGCGACGAUCCGUAGCUGGUCUGAGAGGAUGAUCAGCCACACUGGAACUGAGACACGGUCCAGACUCCUACGGGAGGCAGCAGUGGGGAAUAUUGGACAAUGGGCGCAAGCCUGAUCCAGCCAUACCGCGUGGGUGAAGAAGGCCUUCGGGUUGUAAAGCCCUUUUGUUGGGAAAGAAAAGCAGCAGGUUAAUACCCCGCUGUUCUGACGGUACCCAAAGAAUAAGCACCGGCUAACUUUGUG